AUCACUGUGCAGUGCCUAUGGCCUGUCUGAUGCAGCAGCCAGAGCAGGUCCUGCACAGAGCCACAGGUAUUUUCACUUGAGCGUAUUGAAUUUUCUCAGCAGACUCUGACGACCUAGAGAGGGGGAACGACAGCGGGACGCCACUCCCCACCUCUGAUAAUGGUGACAAUUCGCUGGGCUACACAGGUCAGAGAGGACCUGUACAGACACCUGACUUCCAGCAGGGAGACAUUAGGCAGUGACAAGAGGAUAAAUCUUCUUCAGUUGGCACACCUUCAGCUGAAAUAUUUGUGAAUAAGCACUGUGUAAGCUAAAAACUGGCUACCCUCCUAAACAGAUGAGCAAUGUGAGUGAAAUCAGUGAGUUCCACUGAUGUGAACAUGGCGUGCAAGGAGGCCACAAUGCCCAUCUUUGGCCAGAUGACUUCUGAAAACUCCAGAGAAGGAAAAAUGGGAGCAAAUCUGCAUGUUUUAAUGUACAUCAAAUAUUACAAUGACUACAGUCAAUUAAAUCAUGUCUAUGU